AGAGUUUGAUCCUGGCUCAGAUUGAACGCUGGCGGAAUGCUUUACACAUGCAAGUCGAACGGCAGCACGGGAGCUUGCUCCUGGUGGCGAGUGGCGAACGGGUGAGUAAUGCGUCGGAACGUACCGAGUAAUGGGGGAUAACGCAGCGAAAGUUGUGCUAAUACCGCAUACGCCCCGAGGGGGAAAGCAGGGGAUCGCAAGACCUUGCGUUAUUCGAGCGGCCGACGUCUGAUUAGCUAGUUGGUGAGGUAAUGGCUCACCAAGGCGACGAUCAGUAGCGGGUCUGAGAGGAUGAUCCGCCACACUGGGACUGAGACACGGCCCAGACUCCUACGGGAGGCAGCAGUGGGGAAUUUUGGACAAUGGGGGCAACCCUGAUCCAGCCAUUCCGCGUGAGUGAAGAAGGCCUUCGGGUUGUAAAGCUCUUUCAGCAGGAACGAAACGGUACGCUCUAACAUAGCGUGCUAAUGACGGUACCUGCAGAAGAAGCACCGGCUAACUACGUGCCAGCAGCCGCGGUAAUACGUAGGGUGCGAGCGUUAAUCGGAAUUACUGGGCGUAAAGCGUGCGCAGGCGGAUUGUUAAGCAAGAUGUGAAAUCCCCGGGCUUAACCUGGGAAUGGCAUUUUGAACUGGCAGUCUAGAGUGCGUCAGAGGGGGGUGGAAUUCCACGUGUAGCAGUGAAAUGCGUAGAGAUGUGGAGGAACACCGAUGGCGAAGGCAGCCCCCUGGGAUGACACUGACGCUCAUGUACGAAAGCGUGGGUAGCAAACAGGAUUAGAUACCCUGGUAGUCCACGCCCUAAACGAUGUCAACUGGUUGUUGGGGGAGUGAAAUCCCUUAGUAACGAAGCUAACGCGUGAAGUUGACCGCCUGGGGAGUACGGUCGCAAGAUUAAAACUCAAAGGAAUUGACGG
rnacentral:rRNA from 1 species